AUGAAGAAGAAAAACGCUAAACCUUAGUCUCAAUCUUUCAAUGUCGCAAUCUUCCAGCUCUCAAACACGACCCCUCGUCUCUCAAACUCGAACCAUAAUUUUUCUCCUUCAUUCAUGUCAUUUUGUUUAUGUUUCGUUAGAUUAUGGCGUGCACGGGCACAAUCUUCUAACUUCAGCUCUCAUUCUCCAUUGUUUUGGGUUUAUGGAAAUCACUCAUUCAGAGACAGAAAUUUCUUCAAGAAAUCGCUUCAAGAAAUCGGUGAAAGAAGGAAAUCGCUUCAAGAAAUCCUUGAAAGAAGGAAAUCGCUUCAAUGUUCGGUUGCCAUUCUCUUCAUCAAAGAAAUCAAUUUUCAGGGCUCUAGCUAUAAACAAAUCCCGCAUGACGCAUGAAAAAUCUAUUUCAAGAAACAGAAGCACCACUUCUAGAACGCAUCAAAGAACGCAGACACCACCAAUUCAGACGACCAAAGCAGCAGCACCGCCUCAGACAACCAAAGCAGCAUCACCGUCUCAGACAAUCGAAGCAGCACCAUCGAAUUUUAAGCAAUGCACAUUCGUGCCUACCACGGGAGUGACUCAACAUGUUUUGCCAGGUCCAGCUCUCCAUCACACCACGAUGGUAGAAGAGGCGGGAGACCAAACAGUUUCUGAUGAGGAAGAGGAGGUGGAACAAGCAUUUUUUGAUAGGCAAAGGGAGAUGAUUAAAAUUGUAGACUAUGGUCUCUUGUUUGGUGGGAGCCGUGUGAUGACGCCAAAAUAAAAUAUGAGUUUGAGAAACAAUGUGGUAAAAGAAUAAAUGGUGUAUUUUAUAAGAUUAGGAAAAAGAUGAUAAGACUGCCUUUGAUGGGUGAAAAUGUAUGGUAGUAUCUUGUUGACGGGUGGUAAAAAGCAGAUUUCAAAAAGCUCUCCCAACAAAAUAAGAAUAACCGAGCAUCAAGCAGAGGUGGGCGGUCAAUACCCCAAUACCACGGAGAAGAAGUUAAAUCAACCGUCCAAUCCUGACGAACUCUUUAUGGCCACUCAUAAAAAGAAGGAUGGGCAGUGGGUUGACCGUCGUGCAGAGAAAACACAUAAAAUGGAUCGAAGUUGGAUGCAUGCUAGAGUAAACUCCAAUAGGUAUGGUUUGAAAGAUGGAUUUUUUAAUGGAGUUGACGAUUUUGUCAAUAAAGCCAUGAAUCAACCACAAGUUUUAAACAAGGGAAGGAUAAGGUGUCGUGUAAAAUGUGUCUGCAUUCUUUUGAAGACGCCUAGUGAAAUUAGACAUCACUUGUACACAGAUGUUUUUUUGCCCAACUAUUAUACAUGAUUUGAUCAUGGAGAAGAGAAUCAGAUUGAUGGUCAUUCUAGUAGUGGCGAGAAUGCUGGUGGGGAUAAUUUGAGUGAUGCUAUUAGGCCAUUUGUUAAUGUCCCCAAUGUAAAUGCUAAUAUGGAAAACGAAACAGUUAGCGAGGGUGAGGUACCAAAUGAAGAAGCUCAACGAUUUUAUGAUGGAUUGAUCUCUGGAAACCAAUCCAUUCAUGUGGGAGCUUCUGAAUCCAGACUAUCUAUUUCAAUUAAGUUAUUGGCUUCCAUGUCUAAUUGGCAUGUUCAUCAAAAGGCCAUGGAUUUUUUCAUUCAAAUACUUAUCGAUGUUUGUCCAACAAAAUAAUGCUUAUCUGAAAAGUAUUACCAAGUGAAGAAUUUGGUGUCUAAGUUAAGAUUGGAGGUUGAGAAAAUUGAUUGUUGUGUGAAUGAAUGCUUAUUAUAUUUUAAAGAAGAUAGAACUUUAACUCAGUGUAGAGUUUGUGGAGCUGCUAGGUAUGUUCCUCGAAAGAGUGGAACUUUGUAAUGAGAUCUCAAUUAAUGUAGACAAUCAAUGAUUUUCCAACAUAUGGUAUGUUGUCUGGAUGAAGGACACAAGAUAAAUUAACAUGCCCUUAUUCCAUGGACAAUAUAGAUACUUUCACCUUAAAAUUUGGUGGAAAAUGUUCCUAGUUUGAUUGCAUUUAAUCGUAUCGAACUUCAACAAAUGUAAUUAUCUACUAUGUCAUUCACCUUUUAUAUGGUAUUCUUCACCGGUUACCGUUGAGAAUC